rnacentral:lncRNA from 1 species
GAUAAGAAGCCUCAGGAAGAGGUUGUGGUGGAUGGGGUUGAGAGAGAAAGUGAAGUCCCUCUGGUGGUCAGACCCAAAGUCAGGCCUCAGGCUCCAGCAACAAGUGGUGCUAGGCCCAAAACUGAAACUAAAUCUUCCUCUCGGGCAAGGCCUAAAACUGAAUCCCAGUCAGUGUCUGGAAGAAGGCCUAAAACUGAGGCUCAGUCAAUGACUGGAGCAAGGCCGAGAUUGGAGGCCCAAGUAAUGUCUGGUGCCAGGCCUAAAACUGAUGCGAGGGCAGUAGGUGGUGCCCGCCCUAAGACUGAGGCCAAGCCAAUCCCAGGAGCAAGGCCUAAGAAUGAUUCCCGGGCUUGGGCCCAGAGUGAGUUUGGAGCUGAGGCAAUGUCACAUGCUGAGAGAGCACCCUUACCUAAUGCCGUCACAUGGCC